UGGGGAAUUUUGGACAAUGGGCGCAAGCCUGAUCCAGCCAUGCCGCGUGCGGGAAGAAGGCCUUCAGGUUGUAAACCGCUUUUGUCAGGGAAGAAAUCUUCUGAGUUAAUACCUCGGGAGGAUGACGGUACCUGAAGAAUAAGCACCGGCUAACUACGUGCCAGCAGCCGCGGUAAUACGUAGGGUGCAAGCGUUAAUCGGAAUUACUGGGCGUAAAGCGUGCGCAGGCGGUUUUGUAAGACAGAGGUGGAAUCCCCGGGCUCAACCUGGGAACUGCCUUUGUGACUGCAAGGCUUGAGUGCGGCAGAGGGGGAUGGAAUUCCGCGUGUAGCAGUGAAAUGCGUAGAUAUGCGGAGGAACACCGAUGGCGAAGGCAAUCCCCUGGGCCUGCACUGACGCUCAUGCACGAAAGCGUGGGGAGCAAACAGGAUUAGAUAGCCCUGGUAGUCCACGCCCUAAAACGAUGUCAACUGGUUGUUGGGAAGGUUCCUUCUCAGUAACGUAGCUAACGCGUGAAGUUGACCGCCUGGGGAGUACGGCCGCAAGGUU
rnacentral:rRNA from 1 species